rnacentral:lncRNA from 1 species
GCAAGUGUUCUGAGCCUGUUUAAGGUAGGCUAGGCUAAGCUAUGAUGUUCAGUAGGUUAGAUCUAUUAAAAGCAUUUUCAACUUAUGAUAGUUUCAACUUAUGAUGGGUUUAUUGGGAGGUAACCCCACUGUAAGUCAGGAAGAUCUGUAGUCUCAGAGACAAACACCCUCAGGGUAUUUGCUGGAAAUGCCUGGAACCACAAUGGGGGUUUACCUUUGACAGACCUAGAGAGGGAAAACAGGAUGUAGACUUUGAUAGAUAGAAAAGAAAAAACAAAAGCAGGAUGUGGAAAGUUAAUAUGCUUCUGUUCGCCAGGUUCCCUAUCUGGCUACCAAGGCCUUGAGCUUUGCACACAAGUGGGAACUUGAUUUUGAGUUAGAUGGUGUCAAAUUGCAAGAAGAAAGGAGAGAGAAGGUGAUUUGAAGGACCACUAUAUCUAGAUCAUACGUUAACUUUGCCACUAGGCGUUAAGAUCUUGUGACAUUUAACAGUCAGGUGUUAGAAAUGGAACCAUAAAUAGAUUUGAUAGUCAAUUAUAAUUGGAAAAUAGGCUGAUGGAAAAAUUUUAAUGCAUAAGAAAGAUAUUACUGCAUAAGUAAAAGUAGAGGCAAACGACCAACCCUGAAUCAAUAGGAAGAAAGAACGGAACUAUUAUGAAAAACAGACAAUCAUUAAGAAGAAGACAAAGAAGAUAAAAACUCUAAUACAAAAAAUAGACAAUAAACAUGAACUGGCAAUUCACAACAGAAAGAACAAAUGCCUAAUGCUGAACAAUAUUGAUAAGGAUAUGAAAAAAGAUCCAUUUUGUAGUGAUAAGAAUAUACAUCUGUACAACUUUCUUGGAGGAUGAUUUGGUGUUUUCAUUAAAACUUCUACAGAUCUCCAGGUUUGUUUGUGCAGCUGCUUCCUCCACGCAGCUGCAGCUUGGGGGAGGUGACUUUAUCUCCAACUAUGAGGUACAUUCUCAUUCAUCUAAAUUAUCAUGGUAAUUCCAUGUCUCUAGGAGAUAAUUGGAUUAGGGAUAUUCACGAGAUUCAGUCCUGGCCAAAGAGAUAAGAGAUGUGUCUGCUGGCAACUUUUGAGAGGGGUUCCUUGCCUUAAAAAUGUAUGAGCAAAAGAUGUUUUUGUUCCUAAAUGUGACUCCUCAAACUGUGCAGGCCAUCCAGCGGCCCUGAGGGCAGCUAGUCUAGGGAUAAAGCAGAGAUGCUGAGGACGUCUAAACAGAAUGAUGGAAAGAACAUGGGCCCUUGAUGAAGUUGCUGAAAUAAUAAAACUAUCAGCUCAGCAACUCUCUAAAAUUAUGGAACCAUUCUUUCCAAGGACUUCUUAUUAUAUGCAUUAAUUUUCCUUGUGUUAGGCUAUUUUGAGUUUGAUAUUCUGUUCCUUGCAGUUGAAGGCCUUCUACCAUAUAAACCUACCAGAUGCUCACUGUUGAGACUAAACCCAUUCCUGAGCUGUGAACUUUGGGGAUGAUGUAAGAUUUAGGGAUAUGAUGAGUAUAUCUGUUGCUUCUUAUGAUGAUGAAAUAAGUAGAAAUGUCAAAUUGUCCAUAAACUCAGAAUAGCAUAGAUUUAACAUACCUGCAUCUAUAACAAACUAUAAAGAGCCAUUGUAAUUUAAAAUUUGCUCAACAAUAAUCUUUAGAGUUCAACAUCUGGAAGAAAAGAAAUAACCAAUCAUUGACCACCUAAUAUGAUUGAAGCAGUG